rnacentral:rRNA from 1 species
UACGUAGGGGGCUAGCGUUGUCCGGAUUUAUUGGGCGUAAAGAGCGUGUAGGCGGCCAGGUAGGUCUGCUGUGAAAACUCGAGGCUUAACCUCGAGACGUCGGUGGAAACCGUUUGGCUAGAGUCCGGAAGAGGAGAGUGGAAUUCCCGGUGUAGCGGUGAAAUGCGCAGAUAUCAGGAGGAACACCGGUGGCGAAGGCGGAUCUCUGGGCCUUACCUGACGCUCAGGCGCGAAAGCUAGGGGAGCGAACAGG